rnacentral:lncRNA from 1 species
UUAGUCUUCUUUAUCUUUGUCAAGUUUUCUUAAAGUUUUUGACAGGCUUUAUUAUUUACUGUUUAUUUUAAAUCUUUAUCUAGUUCUAAAAUAAAUAGUUACUUCUUUUUGGUGAAUUGAACCUGAUUUGUAUUAGUUCUACACUUUUAAUUUAUUUUCUUAUUUUAAGGCACAGGAUUACUUUAUCAACUGCUGUAGUUAAUUGAUGCCUGGUGUUUCCCCUCAUCUAUUUUCACUUUUACCUGUGAAGGCAUGACAAGGACUCCGCUGAUGGAUGCAGUGAAAUAAAUGCUUUGUGCCAUCUACUGGUGCCGCUGGGAGCUGCGGGUCAGCCCGCAGCCGGAGUUGUGACGGACUCAAGCGUGCAGUGUGGGAAAAGGAAACUCGCUGUAAAUGCUCCAAACAAUCAUCUUUGCUUUUUUUGUCACUAAUUGCUAUGCCUGGGAAAACAAACUGCAUAAUGCCUCAAGUCUGAUAAGACAAGGAAGUGACCAGGAACUUAUUGGUCUUGGGAAUCCUGUGAUACCUAAAACAGCAGUACUCUGGGCUGUCAUGGACCUGAAAGUGGUUUGGCCAUUCUGUUUAGAGACACACAAAAAUAAAAAUAUAUUUCAUAGUGUUUGAAAUACCAGCAUGUCUCUAGAAACUUUUAUCAGAAAAGAUAAGGGUUGGAGCAAUUCAAAGUUUAUUAGACAAGGCACAUUGUCAGUUCAGGGUGACUUUAAAAUACAGGGCAAUCUGUAUGGUUUUAAGUCUUGGGAAGUGCAUUACUCACUGAUGACUAAACUCUGACACUGCACAGAGACAAUUCAGAAUUUGAGUUUAGAGUAUCACUAGAGAUGUGAUUUACAAUGCUGGUCAGAACAAGCUGAUAGCAGCCAUGAAAAUGAAACUAUAUAGAUAAGCUUUGGUAAUAUACCCCACACGUAUCUUGCAAGCUGCUGAGCAUUUAGCACCUGCUUGCUACUGUUUUUCACAUCCCUUCACUGUGAGAGGCCAUGUGUUAACACAGAGUCUAGCAAAUGACUCCGAAAUGACAAUCUUAUGCAAUAACUGCAGCAUUUCAAAUGUUGCUUUGAUGCUUUCAGUGCUUCUAACGUUCUGUUCACACAGGAAGUCAGGCAGGCUGGUUUAAGUGGCUGCCCAGCUUUAUGGUAAUGGGAGCAAGAGAACCUCUAGACAGGAAUCCAGCUCCAAAACUCUGUGCUGUCCAUGAAAUUCUUUGCUUUAGGUCUUACUCAUGAACUGCUCCAUAAAAUGCCAUGGUGAUAAGGUCCGUGGGUUAAACCAAGUGACCAUAUUGAGAAAGGGCUGAGACCUACAUUCCAGCCUUGUUCCUGAUCACUUGACUGGACAUGAACAGCUUUUCAGGAGCUCUCUUCCCAUAUCAAAGCAGAUAAUCAAAGCAGAAAGAGAGAAAAGCAAUGUUCUGAGCUGGAUCUGUGUCCUCAUUUAGUUAAAUAUCUAAUCAUGCACUUUUCCAUAAAGACUGGGGUAAAGAUGGC